CCUACGGGAGGCAGCAGUGGGGAAUAUUGGACAAUGGGGGAAACCCGUGAUCCAGCAAUGCCGCGUGAGUGAUGAAGGCCUUAGGGUCGUAAAGCUCUUUUACCAGGGAUGAUAAUGACAGUACCUGGAGAAUAAGCUCCGGCUAACUCCGUGCCAGCAGCCGCGGUAAUACGGAGGGAGCUAGCGUUGUUCGGAAUUACUGGGCGUAAAGCGUGCGUAGGCGGUUAUUCAAGUCAGAGGUGAAAGCCCGGGGCUCAACCCCGGAACGGCCUUUGAAACUAGAUAACUAGAAUCUUGGAGAGGUCAGUGGAAUUCCGAGUGUAGAGGUGAAAUUCGUAGAUAUUCGGAAGAACACCAGUGGCGAAGGCGACUGACUGGACAAGUAUUGACGCUGAGGUACGAAAGCGUGGGGAGCAAACAGGAUUAGAUACCCUGGUAGUCCACGCCGUAAACGAUGAUAACUAGCUGUCCGGACACUUGGUGUUUGGGUGGCGCGNGCUACGACAUUAAGUUAUUCCGUCCGUCGGGUAGGUACGGUCGGCGAGAGUUAAACGUUAAAAGUAAAGUAGUACGGCCGUCGAGACGUGUCCGACGGACGACGACGAGGGGAGGUAGG
rnacentral:rRNA from 1 species